rnacentral:lncRNA from 1 species
UAUGAAGAUGAGCAUGAAUGCAUAGGAUAUGCAGUUCUUCCAAAUAUGGAUAUUAAAGAUGCAUAAUGAUUUUUUUCAUUAUUCUGCCAAGUAUCAUAUGCAGUGAAGUUAAGACACAUCAUUCCCUGGAAGUGACUACCAUAGUAUCUGCUGUUGUGUUUAUUUAUUUUUUAACCAAUUCACAUCCUGGUGGUAUUUGUUAGGUAUACAAAGACUGAAAAACUACUGCGAUGGCCUCAUGCCUUGUUUUUCUCCUUUAGAAGAUGUUUUUUCUCCUUUAGAUGAUUUUUUUCUCCUUUAGAAGAGUGUACUUCCUUUCUCAUUGGUGAAACAUCUAUUAAUAGUAAUUCUCAUCUUCCCUGAGAACCCUCAUCUGUAUAAUGUGCUAGUUUUUACCCAGGAACACUGCAUUAUAAAGCAUUUAAAGGUCAGGCAAGUCAGCAUUUGUUCCCUGGGCUGCUCAGAGACUGAGUGCAUGAACAGCAAAUAGUGUCGUGUUCCAUAUUUUGAGAGCUUGACCUGUUGCUGGGACCCAAGGGCACAGAAAAAGAGUAUGUGAGUGAAGAAAAACAGGAACACCACUCUGUAGCCAGUCUAGCUGGAAAAUCCUUUGAGGUAGCAGGAGACUGGGUUUUAUCCUACAGAACUCUGCUAAGCAGAUCCCUGAAGAGGCCAGACAGCUCUCCUGAAAUCCAUGGUUGUGAGCAAGCAUCCUCCUUUUGCCCUAAGUAUGUUGAACUCCACAAUUUCAUGGUCACUGCACCAAGACUGCCUUUGACCUUUACAUUCCCACCAGCAUCACCUUGUUGAUAAGAAAGAGGUCCAGCACAGCCUCUUUCCUCAGCUUCUCUAUCACCUGGAGAAGGAAGUUAUCAUCGUAUUGUAUGGUACCUGCUUACCAGCAGGUUGGACUUGAUGAUCUCUUGAGGUUCCUUUCGAUCUCUGUGAUUCUGUGGUUCUGUGAUUCUGCAACACACUCUAGGAACCUCCUGGAUUGCUCAUGCCUUGC